UGUCUCAGUACAAGCCAAAUUAAGGUGAAACCGCGAAAGGCUCAUUAANUCAGUUAUGGUUCCUUAGAUCGUACCCACACUUACUUGGAUAACUGUGGUAAUUCUAGAGCUAAUACAUGCAAACAGAGCUCCGACCGGAGACGGAAGGAGCGCUUUUAUUAGAUCAAAACCAAUCGGUGGCGGGUUCGCUCGUCAUCGUAUAACUUGGUGACUCUGAAUAACUUUAAGCUGAUCGCACGGUCUAGCACCGGCGACGCAUCUUUCAAAUGUCUGCCUUAUCAACUGUCGAUGGUAGGUUCUGCGCCUACCAUGGUCGUAACGGGUAACGGGGAAUCAGGGUUCGAUUCCGGAGAGGGAGCCUGAGAAACGGCUACCACAUCCAAGGAAGGCAGCAGGCGCGCAAAUUACCCACUCCCGGCACGGGGAGGUAGUGACGAAAAAUAACGAUACGGGACUCAUCCGAGGCCCCGUAAUCGGAAUGAGUACACUCUAAACCCUUUAACGAGGAUCAAUUGGAGGGCAAGUCUGGUGCCAGCAGCCGCGGUAAUUCCAGCUCCAAUAGCGUAUAUUAAAGU
rnacentral:rRNA from 1 species